rnacentral:rRNA from 1 species
GUAGGUGGCAAGCGUUGUCCGGAAUUAUUGGGCGUAAAGCGCGCGCAGGCGGUCCUUUAAGUCUGAUGUGAAAGCCCACGGCUCAACCGUGGAGGGUCAUUGGAAACUGGGGGACUUGAGUACAGAAGAGGAAAGCGGAAUUCCACGUGUAGCGGUGAAAUGCGUAGAGAUGUGGAGGAACACCAGUGGCGAAGGCGGCUUUCUGGUCUGUAACUGACGCUGAGGCGCGAAAGCGUGGGGAGCAAACAGGGAUUAGAUACCCUGGUAGUCCACGCCGUAAACGAUGAGUGCUAAGUGCUAGGGGGUUUCCGCCCCCCUUAGUGCUGCAGCUAACGCAUUAAGCACUCCGCCUGGGAGUACGGCCGCAAGGCUG